rnacentral:rRNA from 1 species
UACGUAGGGGGCUAGCGUUGUCCGGAAUCAUUGGGCGUAAAGAGCGCGUAGGCGGCCCGGUAAGUCCGCUGUAAAAGUCCAGGGCUCAACCCUGGAAAGCCGGUGGAUACUGUCGGGCUCGAGUCCGGAAGAGGCGAGUGGAAUUCCUGGUGUAGCGGUGGAAUGCGCAGUUAUCAGGAGGAACACCUGUGGUGUAGACAGCUUACUGGACCACUUCUGACGCUGAGACACGAAAGCGUGGGUAGCAAACAGG